ACCUCUGGUCCCGCAUCCGAAGUAGAAACAGAAACGUUACAGGGGCGAGGCGGGAUCAGUGUAAGACAGCAGAGCCAGGGGAGAGAACAGUGCUUUGUGUGUGCCUGUCUGAGUGUGUGUGUGUGUGUGUGUGUGUGUGUGUCCCCUGCUGUUUGUUGAUGAUGAAUGAGACAGUGAGAGUGGUGAAGGAUACGGUCAGUGCCCUGGAAGAUGACGCCGCCCUUAACCAUCUCUCCCAUGAUACACCCCACUGACCAGAUGUCCACUGGGAACAGAGAACAAACACACACACACACACACACACACACACACACACACACACACACACACACACACACACACACACACACACACACACACACACACACACACACACA